GCAAGAGACCGCGGGGGUGGAAAAGGCCGCUCGCUCGAGAUUGCGCGCGGUUUGACUCUUUUCACCGACAAUAAUCUGGUGCCCAACAUUGGGCCUCGGAGAAGACUCAGGACCCUGAAGGAGUUGCCCAAAACUGGAGCUAAGGUACCAGCAGGAGCCCAUUGAAGCCUCACCGAAUUCGAGCUUCUCCUUCGGUGGAACUGGGAAGUUCUCCUGAGCCCCAACCUCCUGUUUUGGUUGAUGGUCCUUGAUUUAUUCUAAGCUGAUUUUUUCCUCUCUGUCUUUUCUCCUAGGAAGUUGGUUAA
rnacentral:lncRNA from 1 species